UUAAUAGAAUGGUUUUCUCUUCCAAGUGAACAUAUAUUUUGCUUUAUAUUUAGUUGUUACAGUAUUAGCAUUAGUUGACUGCAUUUGCACUCACUGUUUUGAGUACUUGUAUUCACGUUGCCUGUUUUAUAUUGUAGCAUACGUUAUAUUUGCGGCUUUGAAUGAGUACAAUACUCGAGUUAGCCAACACUCAUCUCGGUUUCGAAUUCAACUGUUCACCGAAAACCCAAUUGGAGAAUCGCCAAUCAGAAAACUCACUUGAGCUACACAAUUUCGAUUCAUGGACUCUAAAUAACAGGCUCGCAGCAAAAGCAGAGCGGCGCUCUUUGAGAUUUCGUUUUCGUUUCGUUGCGUUCCGUUUCGCCUGAGUGUGAAUUUCAUUUCAUCGUGCAUGUGUGUGUGUGUGUGUUUGUUUUUGGUUUUGUAUGAGUCGGCGCUCUCUUUGCUCAUUUGUUUCGUUGUUGCUUUUGCUGGUGGUGGUGCCGGUGCCGGUGCCUGUGUGUGUGUGAGGGAGAGGGAAAAAGUUUGUUUCGAAAGAGCUUUGCCUCCACACUCUUUGCACUGAAGGAAAUUUGAUAUUACUUGGCGAUCCAAGAAAAAAAAACAAUAAAAUAAAUACUUGAUGUAGCGAAAGGUAUAUAUACAUGUACUUUACAUAGAUAUUAUUAUUGCGUUGUGUAUUGAGGGUAGGUGAGCAAUUUCGAACAGUGCAUAACCAAUGAGCAUGCAUAUCAUAUUUUUGAGCUAUUAAAUUGCGACCUGUAGAUACACACUACAUACAUAUGUAUGAGCUUUUGAGCUUCUUACUGGUAUCCCUCAUUUCCAGCCUAUUCAUAGAGUGGGUUUGUUUGCUUUGAGUGGAGCACCAUUUAGACAAUUGAGUGAGGUGGUGAGUGGUGGCAAUCCACAGACUCCACUUGACCCCGUUCGAGUGCAUUUUUUGUUACCUUCGUUGAGUUCAGGCGACAGGAUAGCAGCAACUCAGACAGAGCCAAGCGGAACUGCCAAAAAUUCAACUCGUCAUGACCUCUCUCUGGCAUUAGCUCUACCUCUCUCUCUAUCUGCAUCUCUCUCACAUACAAUGGGCUUCUCUGAGUGAGUGCGAGAUGGCAAGACCUUAUGGGGUUCAGUGAGUGAGACGCCUGGAAGCAUGAAAAAAUCCUUGAACAUAUUGAUGAACCAGGAGUGCAGUAGUCAGAGCUGCAUCAUGAGUUUCAAAUAACUGGAAUAACUGCUGCCAAGUCAAAGUCAAUGGCACAUUAUCCGCAAUCGGAGCAGGGGAACCACUGCAGAGCAGCGCAGAGCAGAGGAACGGAACGGAACGGAUGGGCCAUGGACCGACCAUUAGAAGAGGCGGAUGAGGGAGGCACCGCAGCGGAGGAAGUGGCUCGAGUUGAGUCUGGCCUCUGCUUAGACAUUCCUUGCAGCUCCCUCAAGGCCGCACAGUAGGCCUUGCAAUUGAGCUUACUCAAAUGUUGGUAUAUGUAUGUGGCUUUAGUUUUGUUGAUGUUCCCGUUAAAAGUGUUGCAAAAUCAAACAAAAAUAUAUACAAUGUCGUAAGGUUUUCGAUUAUUUUAAAGUUCGCGUUGAAGGUACUUUCCCUUCUUUCCAAAAAUGAUUGGUUUCUUUGACCUGCGAACUCUCUUUGCUCCGCUGGAAUAUGGCGUGAGAAUAGCCUCGAGUCUGGUGUCGGCCGUUGGAAACUUUCUGCAGUGCAUGUGGCUGCCACCUUUGAGGCAUACAUAGUUCAUGUCUGUGGCAUACAUCUGCUCUUCUUCAAUCAAAUCUCCAGCAAACAUUUUUGAAAAACUAAAUUUUAAAAUUCAUGUUGCUAAAUUUGACGGAGCUUAGGUCAUUAGAUCACACAAUUCCAAAUAAACAUGUGAUCGUACAACUCACAGAAUAACAUUUUGAUUUACGCUCAAUCUACCAUCUCGUACCAUCUCUAUACAUAUUUGAUCACUUUUUCCUUAUGCCAUCCACGGUGCCCGUGAAGAAACCUUACUAAGGAGAGGCCAAGUGUUGGCCAGGUUGCAGAUGAAGCCAGACCUGGCCAAAGGAAUGCAAAGCCAACAGACGGACGACCGAAUGAAGAAGAUGUUAACCCACAGGCGGCGGAUGUGUCCAAGAAGCAGGGACCACGACCACGACCACGACCAGGACCCGGACCAGUCGUCCCCCCGAGGGUAGGGGUCUGGGGCUGGGACUGAGACUGAAGCCCAGAAGAAGCGUAAAGAGCAGCAAACAACAGCAGCAUAAGCAAAACGACCAACAACUAAGAGAUGAAGGAACGGAAGAGUACCAACGACAACGACCCUGGGAGCAAAUUCAAUGCAAUAAUACAAAAAAAACUUGCAGAAAAUAUAACUUGGACGCGCCGAUUUAUAUAUA
rnacentral:sRNA from 1 species